GAUGAACGCUGGCGGCGUGCCUAACACAUGCAAGUCGAGCGAACAGACGAGAAGUUUGCUCCUUAGACGAUUGCGGCGGACGGGUGAGAAACGCGUGGGAAACCCCCCUCUAUGCCUGGGAAAACUUCGGGACUGCGGCGCUUACCCCGGAUAACAUAUUGAACCGUGUGGUUCAGGAGUGAAAGUCGGUUUUGCUGUCACUUCUAGAUGGAUCCGCGCCGCAUUAGCUAGUUGGUAAGGUAACGGCUUACCAAGGCAACGAGGCGUAGCCGACCUGAGAGGGGGAGCGGCCACGCGGGAGCUGAGGCACGGUCCAGGCUCCUACGGGAGGCAACAGUAGGGAGUCUGCCGGAAUGGGCGAAAGCCGGACGGAGCGACGCCGCGUGAGUGAUGAAGGUCUUCUGAUCGUUAACCUCUGUUAUGUUGGAAGAACAAUUGUGUAAGUAACUAUGCACGUCUUGACGGUACCUAAUCAGGAAGCCACGGCUAACUACGUG
rnacentral:rRNA from 1 species